GCCCAUGUUGCUCAGUCGUUAGAGCGUUAAGCGUUUAACCUAAAUGUCCACGGUUCGAGCCUGUGCGUGGGCG
rfam:Trichuris trichiura, WGS project CBXK01000000 data, contig: TTRE_606